AUUUGGUUUUUAUUUUUAUUUUUAAUGUGUAAUCUAGCAGUGUGUAGGUCUGAGUUAUUUGGAUUAGCAAUGUUAGGCUAAAUCAAAACUUAAACUUUCUCUUGCGCUUUCUUUGUGAAAAAUAAUCUAUAUCUGUGAAUAUACUUGUUUGCAUAAUUUGUAGAUUUAACUUAAUUAGAUGCAUCAUGGAUGCCACAACUCAGUUGUUUAAGUAUGUUUUGUGAAUUGAUUGUUACUGGUGCAAUUUUUCUCAUUCACCACUUUCACUGUAGGGUUCCUACACCAGUUGCUGUUAUCAUUAGCGCCACUGUGUUUGCCCUUGCACAUCUCACACCAGGAGAAUUUCCACAGCUGUUUGUUCUCGGGACUGCUUUGGGGUUUUCAUAGGCUCAAACUCACAACCUUCUCACUCCCAUCACUAUUCAUGCCUUUUGGAACUCGAUAUUAUUUCUUACUUUUCUGCAGCUUCAAGGGUACGAUAUCAGAGAAUUGUUGCAGGUAACAUGAUGGAAACCUUCUCUCCCAUGCAUGGAUGUUGAGCAUAUGUAUACAGUUUAGAAUACAUAACCAUUUCUUUGUUUACAAUUAGUGAAGAAUGGUUGUCAGUGGGUUACCUUGUCUUAAGUCUUUUGAGUUUAAAGUAUGAAAUAUUACUUAACUCUAGCAACAAUAAAAAACAUUCUAGUUCCAAGCUAACAUUUUUAAUAAAU